GUGCUUGCUUCGGCAGCACAUAUACUAAAAAUUUGGACGGACACAGAGAAGAUUAGCAUGGCCCCUGCGCAAGGAUGAUAUGCAAAUUCGUGAAGAAAUGUAGGAAGAG
ensembl:snRNA U6 U6 spliceosomal RNA